AAAGUCUAACGGGCGGUUUUACUGUGUGGUGCUAAGCAAAUAUUAUUAUUAUUUUUUACCAAAGCCUUUUUUUAUUCAAAGUAAAAGUAAUAUCCAUGCUUUUGUGGCAAGCCAGAAAUGAAGCCGUGAAAUUUUGCCAAAUAUCAAAAAGCGUCGCCAUUUUUUAGUAAUAUUUUUGUUGCAUAUAAAAAAAGUGUUUGCAUUUGUGGCAUCCUGUUCAUAGUAUGCUGUACAUUUUCAAGGAUAACGCAGCGCAGCACUUCGUUCAGAUGCAAAUAAUUAGUGUGAAUAACGGUAUUCAGCGUUGAGUAUUACGCGUUUGACCACAAAAUAAAAGAGAAAAUAAUCUGCAUACAUAUAUAUAUAUAAAUAAAAUUGUACAAAGUGCGGCCAAAAUCAAUAUUGUGAUAUUUACAAAAACAAAAAAGUCCAAAUAACGAAACGAAAUUACGAAUCAAAAGUAGUGAAACGAAAAACGAGCAACAAAAAUCCAAUAAAAAAAGCAGUGAAUUUAAUUCGAAUUUAAAGCGCUUAAGUAAAGUAAAGCGAGCACUCAGUGUAAUAAAAAGCGAAAACAACAAAAAAGUAGAGAAACAAAAAAUAAGCAAAAAAAAGAAGAAAAAUAAGCAAAAACAUCCGAUCAACCAAUUGCCAUGAUAAAAAAGUUGCGCAGCAAAACGCCAAACAUCAAUUAAUUUUGCUCAACGCCGAAAGCGAAAAAUUCAAAAUAAAAAAACACAAACCAAAAAAACAGCAGCCCAAAAAUGUGCACGAAAACAUCGAAAACGCCGUUGCUCUUAAUUGGCGGCGUCUGCUUCGUCAUCGUGCUGGUCGGCAUUACUGGCGUGACGCUGAUCAAUAAUCUCAAUUUGUCCAACAUCAUCAAGCUAAACGAGAAAGUCGCCAGCGACAGCAUGAGCUCACACGACGCCGAAUUGCGCGAUAUGAAUUACGCCAAUAAUCAUCCGAAAAACAUAUACAAAUUCGAUGAAUUCUCCGCGCCCUAUGCACUGGCUGUAGGCCCACACCCACAGUCGCUGCCAGCGGCCGCAGCGCAGUACUCAGUUGUAGCCGCAGCGGCAGCAUACUUAACAGGGGAUGACGGUAUGCCGGAGCAAAAUCCAGCCUCAGCAGUUGUUGAGGCCAGUGGUGCGACGCUAAUUGGACGACCGACGGCAGCAUUAGUAGAUGCUGCGGCGAAUAGUGGUAAUGCGGCGACAGCAGCAGCGUCGGCGCAUGCGAUUACGCAGUCCAAUGGACGACAGCAUGAGAGAUUGCAGAGCAGAGAUAUUGCUGCCGCUAGCAGUAAAGGCAACGCUGCAGCCGCAAAUGAAAAUGCGAAUGCAUCAGCGGCAUUGGUCAAUAAUCCACAGGUAAAUACUACGACACCAUCCGAUGCGUCAAUAUUUGUUGCUGAUAGUGCCGCACAACCAGCGCCAAGCAAUCGUAGUAGUUUUAGUGUCGCAGCUUCCAUAAAUUCGAGUGCCUACAGCACUUCACCAUCAUCGGUAGCAUCUCCAUCAGCAUCAGCAUCAGUUACAGCAUCAUCAGUCAGUGUUGACAUUGCUGCUAAAUUGAUGUUGCCGCUGAUUCUCAAUGGCAGCGCAAGGAUAACGCCCGGAUUUAGCAGUGGCAAUGGACAGAUGAACGCGAAUGAAGAGCAAGGUUUUGCGUUUAAUACACUUUUGAGCUUGAAAAGUGAUAACGGUACAAAAGAUAUUUCCGAUAUGCAUCAAUCGAAGCAUGUGUUGGCGUCGUCAGAGCGUUUAGUAGUGCCCGCAUCCGGACAAGGUGUUGAUGAGGAGCGACGUGAUUUUGUAGUGAAGAUGAUGCAGCACGCCUGGGACAACUACAAGCUCUAUGCAUGGGGCAAGAACGAACUUCGACCGCUCAGUCAACGUCCACAUUCGGGCAGUAUUUUUGGCAUCUACGAUCUGGGCGCCACCAUAGUCGACGGUCUGGACACGCUCUAUCUAAUGGGGUUGGAGAAGGAGUACCAAGAGGGACGCGAUUGGAUUGAACGAAAGUUUUCGCUGGACAACGUUAGCGCCGACCUGUCUGUAUUCGAGACGAAUAUACGCUUUGUGGGUGGCUUGUUGACACUCUAUGCAUUCACCGGUGAUAAUUUAUAUAAAGAGAAAGCACAACACAUCGCUGACAAGCUGUUGCCCGCCUUCCAGACGCCCACCGGUAUACCAUAUGCGUUGGUAAACACACGCACCGGUGCGAGUAGAAAUUACGGCUGGGCAUCAGGUGGCAGCUCGAUUUUAUCCGAAGCUGGUACAUUACACUGCGAAUUCGUUUAUCUCAGUGAUAUAACGGGUAAUCCGCUGUACAAAGAGCGUGUACAAACUAUACGUCAAGUUUUGAAGGAGAUUGAGAAGCCAAAGGGUCUAUAUCCAAAUUUCAUUAAUCCCAAGACGGGCAAGUGGGGACAAAUGCACAUGUCGCUGGGCGCUCUAGGCGACAGUUUCUAUGAGUACCUACUAAAGGCUUGGCUGCAGUCGGGUCAAGUUGACGAGGAGGCUCGCGAAAUGUUCGACGAAGCCAUGGUGGCGAUUAAUGAGCACAUGAUACGCACAAGUUCGGGUGGUUUGACUUAUGUCUCAGAUUUGAAGUUCGAUCAUUUGGAACAUAAAAUGGAUCACUUGGCUUGCUUUGCGGGUGGUCUCUAUGCCUUAGCUGCCAGCACGCGACAAAACCAAUAUGCCAACAAAUUUAUGGAAAUUGGUAAGGGUCUCACAAAUACCUGCCACGAGAGCUACACAAGAACGCCAACCAAAUUGGGACCAGAAGCUUUUCGCUUCAGCGACGCCGCCGAAGCGCGUGCCUUGAAAUCACAAGAGAAAUACUAUAUACUGCGACCGGAAACGAUGGAGAGUUACUUUGUGUUGUGGCGUCUGACGCACGACCAAAAAUACCGCGACUGGGGUUGGGAGGCUGUGCAAGCGCUCGAGACCUACUGCCGUACAAUGCACGGCUACAGUGGCAUCAAGAAUGUCUAUCAGGAGAAUCCGCAGAAGGAUGAUGUUCAGCAGAGCUUCUUCUUGGCGGAAACACUUAAGUAUUUGUAUCUGCUCUUUUCCGACGACUCGCUGCUGCCACUGGACGAGUGGAUAUUCAACACGGAGGCGCAUCCAUUGCCCAUACGUGGCGCGAAUGCAUUCUACCGCGCGGCACCACCUGCCCAAACGCAAGCAGAUGAGAACCGUUAAAACUUGACAAGAGAAAUAUUGCAAAUAUUUCACUGACGAAAUUUUGAGUCUGCCGAGCGUCUUUGACAAAAAUGCAGUUAUUUACACAUAUUGACAUGUAAUUUAGCGUAAUUAUUUAUAAAGAAGUUGGACGUGUUACGUAACCAGAUUUCUCAGCGAUUUUUCAAAUGAGUUUAAUUUUAUUUCCUUUUUAUUUUAAUAUUUUUUUUUGUUGUAAAAAUAUGUAUGCCUGUACAUAUGUAUGUAUAUUGUACUUGUAAACUGACAUUCGCUAAUUUUCACCGCUUAAUUUUGUACAGUUGUAUAAUAUAAGUUAUAUGUAAUAGUUAUUAUUGUAGCGCUUAAUUAUGUAAAAAAUGUAUUAAGCAAAAAAAAUAUUUUCGAAAUUCAAAAUUGCAUUUUUCACGCACGAGACACGAGAAAAACUUCACCCAUAUUAAAAUAAUUUAGUUAAUAACACAUGCAUGUACCAUAUGUAUAAUUAUUUUCACCAUUCCAGACAUUUUUUCUCCCUCUACAUCCUUACAUUUUUGAACUGUGAAAAUGCCAAUAUAGAAACUAUUGUUUGAAAUGCAGAAAGCGAGUAACAGUUGUAUUUACUUAUGAAGCUUUUUAACAGUUAUUGUCGACGCAUACAGAAGCAGUGAAGUUGUAAAGAAAGUAAACUCGAAAUUUAAUAUAAAAUUAGUUAAAAACAAAAACAUUGUUGCAGUACUUUUUUUAAAUUGUAUGGCAAAAUA
rnacentral:misc_RNA from 1 species